rnacentral:rRNA from 1 species
CCCAAUUCGGGGGUAACCUUAGAGAACCAAAAGAUCGAAUGGGGGAGAUUCAUCGUCAAUAUGUUUAAUAUUAAUAUAUAUUAUGAUAUGUUAAAUUUUUUUAAUUUUAUAUUAUUAAAUUUUUUCAUACAUAUAUAUAUUAUUUUAUUGUUUUACAUUGUCGGCGUGCACUUCUCCCCUAGUAGGACAUCGCGACCCGUUAGAUGUUGGUUUACGACCAAAUUGGGUAGCCUUUAUAUUAUUUUAUUAUAAUUAAAGACCAAUUUGUGUUUUCUAACCAAGUAUUUGACGGUAAACGUAUGGUAUUAAGUCGCAUUUUAAUAUAUUUAUGCGUUCUCUACCCGUCGCAAGCGAGGCCUUUUUUGUUAGUUUACAGACUUUGUGCUGUCUAAUAAAAAUUUGGUCAGCUGUUGGCUGUUUACGGUGUUCUAGAACUGACUUAUUUAAAAAAAAUACCUGUCGGCGAUGCUAUUGCUUUGGGUACUUUCAGGACCCGUCUGACACCGGGAAACCAAAAAA